UUUGGUUGGUAAGAGAAAGUGUCUGUAUAUUUGCAUCCGCUUAGGAAAACAAGUAGUGUUUAAAUAAGCAAAUGUUCUUCAAACAAGGCUAGAAAAUCAACAAAUAAAUCGUGAAGAUUCGGUGUUAGAUUUUAGUUUUAAAACUUUGAAGAUGUUCAUUGAGAUAUUGAUUGACAAGAAUUACAAUAUGAAAAGUAACAUAUUGUGAUAACCAAAAUAAAAUAAGCACAAAGCUAAUUAAGUCGAUUUAUUUAGUAUCAUAUUAAAUGAUCUUUAAAAAGAUUCGACGAUGAAGAGUUUGAUCCUGGCUCAGGAUGAACGCUAGCGGCAGGCCUAACACAUGCAAGUCGAGGGGCAGCAUAUCUAGCUUGCUAGAUGAUGGCGACCGGCGCACGGGUGCGUAACGCGUAUACAAUCUGCCUAUCACUGAGGGAUAGCCCGAAGAAAUUUGGAUUAACACCUCAUAGUAUUAUUGAAUCGCAUGGUUUAAUAAUUAAAGGUUACGGUGAUAGAUGAGUAUGCGUCCUAUUAGCUAGAUGGUAAGGUAAAGGCUUACCAUGGCUACGAUAGGUAGGGGUCCUGAGAGGGAGAUCCCCCACACUGGUACUGAGACACGGACCAGACUCCUACGGGAGGCAGCAGUGAGGAAUAUUGGACAAUGGGCGCAAGCCUGAUCCAGCCAUGCCGCGUGUAGGAAGACGGCCCUAUGGGUUGUAAACUACUUUUGUACAGGAAGAAAUCUUUUUACGUGUAAGAAGUUGACGGUACUGUAAGAAUAAGCACCGGCUAACUCCGUGCCAGCAGCCGCGGUAAUACGGAGGGUGCAAGCGUUAUCCGGAAUCAUUGGGUUUAAAGGGUCCGUAGGCGGGCUGAUAAGUCAGUGGUGAAAUGCAGGGGCUUAACUCCGGCACUGCCAUUGAUACUGUUAGUCUUGAAUUAUUGUGAAGUGGUUAGAAUAUGUAGUGUAGCGGUGAAAUGCUUAGAUAUUACAUAGAAUACCAAUUGCGAAGGCAGAUCACUAACAAUAUAUUGACGCUGAUGGACGAAAGCGUGGGUAGCGAACAGGAUUAGAUACCCUGGUAGUCCACGCCGUAAACGAUGGUUACUAGCUGUUUGGUACGAUUGAGUACUGAGUGGCCAAGCGAAAGUGAUAAGUAACCCACCUGGGGAGUACGUUCGCAAGAAUGAAACUCAAAGGAAUUGACGGGGGCCCGCACAAGCGGUGGAGCAUGUGGUUUAAUUCGAUGAUACGCGAGGAACCUUACCAGGGCUUAAAUGCAGAUUGACAGGUUUAGAAAUAGACUUUUCUUCGGACAAUUUGCAAGGUGCUGCAUGGUUGUCGUCAGCUCGUGCCGUGAGGUGUCAGGUUAAGUCCUAUAACGAGCGCAACCCCUAUUACUAGUUGCCAGCGAGUCAAGUCGGGGACUCUAGUGAGACUGCCGGUGCAAACCGUGAGGAAGGUGGGGAUGACGUCAAAUCAUCACGGCCCUUACGUCCUGGGCCACACACGUGCUACAAUGGUAGGGACAGAGAGCAGCCACUUCGUGAGAAGGAGCAAAUCUUCAAACCCUAUCUCAGUUCGGAUCGUAGUCUGCAACUCGACUACGUGAAGCUGGAAUCGCUAGUAAUCGCAUAUCAGCCAUGAUGCGGUGAAUACGUUCCCGGGCCUUGUACACACCGCCCGUCAAGCCAUGGAAGCUGGGGGUGCCUGAAGUCGGUGA
rnacentral:rRNA from 1 species